UUAGCCUUUACCCCUUUAUAUAUAGGAUUCCACGUCAGUUAAUGUCAUGAUUUAGACCGUGGUGUGUUCUGUCAUCAAAACUUUUGAUUGAUUUAAUGACAAUUAGGUAAUUGAAUUAUAUAACUUUACCAAAACACAUAAACCAUGAGUUAAUUAGGGUGAGGAUGAAUAAUCAUCAGUAGUUUUUGUACUCUCAAAGAGACUUAAGUGGGUUGACCCGUUCUUUUUAUUCAGAUUAUUGAGUAGUAGAAAGAUUAACCUAUUCUAAUAUGAGUUUUAACUGUUAGUCUAACUUGUUUUAAGGUCCCACUAGUCCCUAUUCCUCUAAUUAAUUUAUACGUGCUAGUCAUAUUAUUAAGGGGCAAGAAGUCGGUGUCAAUAGCUGUAAGGACGGACCAAAAACCUCCAUUAGAUAAUCCUCUCUGUGAAACAGCACAAGAAGAAGGAGAAAGUUGCAUUAAAUUUUAUAUAUAUAGAUCGUAGAGGCGAGUCACGAGUGAUUUGGUACCUCAAAACAUGCAUGCCUCGUGUACCUUCCUUUGCCAAAUCUAUAGCUUCUUUCUGUCUUCCCUAGUUUCCUUCCUAGCAAAGGCGAAACCCCUUGUUGUUUUUCAGGCAUGUUGGUUUGAGAGGUUGAAGCUGCCAGCAUGAUCUGGUAAUGAAUUUAGACAUCACUCUUUUCUUUUCCUUCUUUAUGUGAUAUUCUUUAACCAGUCUUGAUAUAGAUGUAGUGUGUAGCGGAGGUGAGAGAUACCCGCAGUUAAGUAGAUUGUAUAGGACCAGUUUGGAUCAAAAUUCUCUGGUGGAAGAGGAGUUAUUUAUGUGCUGAAAGCAUUUUGAGGAUAGGGGUAUUGUCAUUAAUUUGUUAAGGGAAUUAAUUUAGAUGUCUUAAGUAAAGAAUCCUGCUUGGACUUAGCUUCAUAGAUAUGGUUCAGCAUCAGGUCAUCUUGCAGCUUCAAUCACUCACUCCCCAACAAAAAUAACUUUCCAGCUACUUAAGGAUACUUCAGAUUUCUCUCUUUCUCUCUCUCAACCCACAAGGGUGUAAUUUGGGGCUAAAUAGAAUAAAAAGAAAACAAUUGGGCUAGAUUGAAGAAAGGAGCAAAGAAGGCGGGCCAAAACAAAAUUUUUCCAAGAUGUAAUUAGCUGAAAUUUUAUUUUGACUUAGUGGGAGAUUAUGUAGGGAUUUUUGAUAUCAUGGGAAUAUUUUUCCUUAAUUUUCUAUGGCUAGUGGCCUUUAAUUAGGCAAAUUUGUUCAAGGCCACUAGUAUAAAUAGGGGCUACUAUGUUCAUUCAUUUAUCAAGUUUUCAACCAAGCUUUCAUCUCUUGAAUUCAAUCUUUUCUUUUCUUUUUGGAAA